GUUGUUGCAGUUAAAAAGCUCGUAGUUGGAUUUCUGGCGUGACGUGGCUGACCCGCCACAAUUAUGUGUGUGAGUGUCGGUUCGCGUCUGCCAUCCUUCUGGAGAACGUGUCUACCGUUAAUAGCGGCCGGAUGCGCGAUCCAGAUCUUUUACUUUGAAGAAAUUAAAGUGUUCAAAGCAGGCUCGCGCUGUGAAUACAUCAGCAUGGAAUAAUAAUUUAGGACUACGGUUCUAUUUUGUUGGUUUCUAGAGCUGAAGUAAUGAUUGAUAGGGAUAGUUGGGGGUGCUAGUAUUCAGCGGCCAGAGGUGAAAUUCUCGGAUUCGCUGAAGACUAACUUAUGCGAAAGCAUUCACCAAGGAUGUCUUCUUUAAUCAAGAACGAAAGUUGGGGGAUCGAAGACGAUCAGAUACCGUCGUAGUCUCAACCAUAAACUAUACCGACUAAGGAUUGGUGAACGUUGUAUUCUCGACUUCAUCAGCACUUUAUGAGAAAUCAAAGUCUUUGGGUUCCGGGGGGAGUAUGGUCGCAAGGCUGAAACUUAAAGGAAUUGACGGAAGGGCACCACCAGGAGUGGAGCCUGCGGCUUAAUUUGACCCAACACGGGAAAACUUACCAGGGCCAGACAUAGUGAGGAAUGACAGAUUGAAGAUCUUUCUUGAUUCUAU
rnacentral:rRNA from 1 species